UCGAUCCUCUCUUCUCUCUCUUUCUUUACUCUCUCUCUCUCUGAUCUCCGAACCGUCCACCCCCUUCCCGGCCCCUGCUUCCCGUCGCACCAGAGAGAGAGGGAGAGAGCCAAGAGUCUGAGAAGAAGAAGAAGAAGAUGAAAGGAGUGGGUGUCUUCAAAAAGGCACAUGGCCUAGAGAAACGAUAAAGCUAGGAAUUGUUGCAAACCAGAAUUUAAGAUUGCAUGUCAGACACCAGAGAAGACCAAUCAGCCUUUACACACCAAAUUCAAGGAUGGAGAUGUAAAUCUUCCAGACAAGUGGGUUGCUCAAUGGAUGCAUCUGUUUAUUUAUUUACUUUUUUUUUUUUUUUUUUAUUCUAAGAUUGGGCAUCUUUCUUCGACUUUCAGAUUUAGGAUUAUAUCAGAGUUCUUUGAUGGUAUGAACUGUUCAUUUAGGUUGCUUAGUCUAUGUAAAAGGUUUGCAUGCUUUAAUUUUAUGUUUUGUUUUGGUUAUGGACGCUAUCACUUCUUUUUGGUU